CACGUAGGGCGCAAGCGUUGUCCGGAAUUAUUGGGCGUAAAGAGCUCGUAGGCGGUCUGUUGCGUCCGCUGUGAAAACCCGGGGCUUAACCCCUGGCUUGCAGUGGAUACGGACAGACUAGAGGUAGGUAGGGGAGAAUGGAAUUCCCGGUGUAGCGGUGAAAUGCGCAGAUAUCGGGAGGAACACCGAUGGCGAAGGCAGGUCUCUGGGCCACUACUGACGCUGAGAAGCGAAAGCAUGGGGAGCGAACAGG
rnacentral:rRNA from 1 species